UCGAAAGAGAGCCGUAACACAGGUGCUGCAUGGCUGUCGUCAGCUCGUGUCGUGAGAUGUUGGGUUAAGUCCCGCAACGAGCGCAACCCUUGUCAUUAGUUGCUACGCAAGAGCACUCUAAUGAGACUGCCGGUGACAAAUCGGAGGAAGGUGGGGAUGACGUCAAAUCAUCAUGCCCUUUAUGUCCUGGGCUACACACGUGCUACAAUGGUCGGUACAACGAGAAGCAAGUCAGCGAUGGCAAGCAAAUCUCUAAAAGCCGAUCCCAGUUCGGAUUGCAGGCUGCAACUCGCCUGCAUGAAGUCGGAGUUGCUAGUAAUCGCGGAUCAGAAUGCCGCGGUGAAUGCGUUCCCGGGUCUU
rnacentral:rRNA from 2 species